rnacentral:rRNA from 1 species
GAUGAACGCUGGCGGCGUGCCUAAUACAUGCAAGUCGAGCGGACGGACGAGAAGCUUGCUUCUCUGAUGUUAGCGGCGCACGGGUGAGUAACGCGUGUAUACCCUCCCUAUAUGACGGAGAUCACUUCGGGACACGGGCUCUAAUACGGGAUAAUAUUUUGAACCGCAUGGUUCGAAAGUGAAAGACGGUCUUUCUGUCACUUAUAGAUGGAUCCGCGCUGCAUUGGCUAGUUGGUAAGGUAACGGCUUACCACGGCAACGAUGCAUAGCCGACCUGAUAGGGUGAUCGGCCACACGGGAACUGAGACACGGUCCAGACGACUAAGGGACGCAGCAGUAGGGAAUGGUCCGCAACGGGCGAAAGCCUGACGGAGCAACCGCGCGUGAGUGACGAAGGUCUUCGGAUCGUAAAACUCGGUUAUUAGUUAAGAACAGAUGUGUACUGAACCGUGCACAUAUUGACGGUAAUUAAUCAGAAAGCCACGGCUAACUACGUG